AACGUUUGACAGCUUAUCUGUCACUCUACGAUUUAAUCAUCUUAUGCUUCUCCAGAAACACUUUACGUUUUCUUCUUAAUUUUACGAUCUUCUCCACUGAUGGUCACUUUACGCUUUUCCACUGAUCACUUUACGAUUUCCUUUGAUCACUCUACGAUCUUUCUAUUUAAUAUCCACACUACGAUUUUCCUCUUAUAGGGAUCACUCUACGAUUUUCCUUAUGAUCAUUUUACUCUACAAUCUUUUAGCAUUUUACGAUCGUCUUCUCUAAUCAUUUCACUCUACGAUUCUCUUACCC
rnacentral:lncRNA from 1 species